CCAAUAGCGUAUAUUAAAGUUGUUGCAGUUAAAAAGCUCGUAGUUGAAUUUCGGAAUUUUUUUAUCGGUUGAAUCAACAGGUUCGUACUGAUUUUAAGAAUUUCUACCUUCUGGAGAACCUUAAUGUCAUUAAUUUGGUGUUUUGGGAAACCAGGACUGUUACCUUGAAAAAAUUAGAGUGUUUAAAGCAGGCUUAUGUCUGAAUAUAUUAGCAUGGAAUAAUGAAAUAGGACGGCAUGGUUCUAUUUUGUUGGUUUCUAGGAUCACCGUAAUGAUUAAUAGGGAUAGUUGGGGGCAUUAGUAUUCAAUUGUCAGAGGUGAAAUUCUUGGAUUUAUUGAAGACUAACUUCUGCGAAAGCAUUUGCCAAGGAUGUUUUCAUUAAUCAAGAACGAAAGUUAGGGGAUCGAAGACGAUCAGAUACCGUCGUAGUCUUAACCAUAAACUAUGCCGACUAGGAAUCGGACGAAGUUAAUUUUUAAUGACUCGUUCGGCGCCUUACGGGAAA
rnacentral:rRNA from 1 species